rfam:Phycomyces blakesleeanus NRRL 1555(-) unplaced genomic scaffold PHYBLscaffold_25, whole genome shotgun sequence.
GGAGAUUUGGCCGAGCGGUCUAAGGCGAUACGUUCAGGUCGUAUUCACGAAAGUGGCGCGAGUUCGAAUCUCGCAGUCUUCA